rnacentral:tRNA from 1 species
GCCGGUUUGGCGGAGAAGCUGACGCGACAGCCUGCAGAGCUGUUUUACCAGGGUGCAAAUCCCUGAGCCGGCUCCA